GGUACUAGUGCAGUGUAGAACCCUUUUCUCAGGCAAAACCUAACAUCUGACCGCACCCUUUUUGCUAUUAAAAAAAAAAAAAAGCUUCUAUUUUUUUCCUCCUGUCGUUAAGAUAAAUUCUCCAGUAGACAACCUCUCCCACUAAUUGUGUAUUAGCAACGUAUUUUAUCUUGAGAGCUUGUACACUGGGCUCUCAACGUGGUGUGGAAGGUAGCCUGUUACAGUGCUGGAUUCAUAAAAGGGCCUUUAUGGUUUGUGAAAGAAUAUCUGUGUGCUUAGGGAGGAAACUUUUUGAUCUGCAGAAAAGCCAGAAGACAUCUAGGAUUGGUCCCUGGUGCCUUAUUUAGUUCACCUGGUGACAUCAUGUUUUCCUGGAUGGUACUGAAGCUAGUAGAUGUUCUUCAGUGCCUGGGCGUUGAAGAGUCAGGACAUCCAUAAAAAUUCAUCAGAGAGCAUUUUACUACUGAGCUGCAAAGGGAAAAACUUAAAAUGGAUAUGAAAAGUGAAGAAAGUGAUCAUAGGAGAAAACCAUUUCAGAUGACAAGAGCACCUCAAAGGCAGCAGCCUCAAGGAGCAGCCAUGGCCCCAGACUUGUCGCACGGAUGCAGAAAACUUAAUGGAGGAGGCUGAGGUCAGAAUGGGAAGAGUUUUUAAAAAAUAAAAAGGGGAGCUAA
ensembl:lncRNA MIR99AHG mir-99a-let-7c cluster host gene